AAGCAAAUCUUGUCGAUUUUGUCAAACUCAAUCUCGUUGGCUCAGGCAAGAGACAAGAAUGGCGUCUGGCAAGAAUGGCGUCUUUGUGCUUUUCCGAAAAUCCGUAGACAAUCGCUAGCAUCUUGUAGAUUUAAAAUGUUUGAAUGUGGAUGGUUUGCUUCAAGGAACUACAGUUGCUGAAAAACGUAGAGCAUGCAAAUUCCAACAAAAGGUUUCAUGAGUAAAUGUACUCAAUAUUUGAGUAAAAUUUCACAUUUAUUCAAAUUUACUUUACUCAAAAAAUGAGUCAAUUUGCUCAUAAAUUUGAGUGAUUUCAAAGUUCAAUAUACUGUAUAGUCACUAACCUUUGCUGGAAACGUUUCACGCUCUAUCUUUUUCAGGUAGUUUCUUUUAUAAUCAGUGACACGAAUUAUUUGGUUGAUGAUUUGGAUAUGCCCAUAGAUAUCUUAUAUACGCUAGAUAGCGCAUCUCUUUAAGUAAAAUUGAAGCCAAGAAUAUUCUAGCGGUUAUACCCUCAUUUGAAUUGAUGGCGGCCAUGUUGGAGUUUCCCACUCGCUAAUAACCGCUUAAAAACAACAAUUUUCAUCAUUUGAACAGUUUGAAAAUGUAUUUGGAAUAGGUUUAACUUAAUGUUUAAGUUCUCUGUUUAAGAAAUAGAAAACAUACGAGUCUUCUCAUUUCAUGGGAAUAUCCUGAGUCUGCAAUCACGGCUUCAAUUUUUGAAUUGCAGAAUAAUUAGAUGCGCUAUCUAGUGUAUAUAAGAUAUCUAUGGGUAUGCCACGUGUACUGUGCAAUCUAACAGCGGGUUGUACAGUGUACAGUACAUGACAUACAUGACUUGCAUUCACGUUAGUUUUACGACAUGUUCUAUAAUUCAGCAUUAUAGAAUCUUCAAAAAUAAGCAUGUCAUAUCUCUGUGCAGUCCCACUAUAUUACGCAUAAACAUGGCGUUGUACAUGACGUUGCAUGCAAUAUCACAGAAUCGAGACCAAACAGAAAGUCGACUCAGCCAAAAAAGCGUAACCGCCGGCACGCCAUCAUUCGGAACGAUUCGAAAUCAAAAUGCACUCGUCAUGCUCCUAGCCAGUGUGCUUAUGAGAGACACCCACCCCCUCAACGUCCGACAUUUUGAAUAUUUUCACUGGGAUGAAUGCCCAUCGCAAGCGCACUGGCUAGGAAAUUGCAACGGUUACGCCUAAAAUCAUAGGCGAAUCCAAGAAGUCUGCUUUCUGUGUAGUCUCUAUUCUGUGGCAAUAUAGUGCGACUCCACUGGGAGAGAGACGUGGGGCAAGUCUAUUUCAGAGUGAAAAAUACGGCAUUAAUAUGACGUCAAAAUGUGGCCGCGAAACCGAUGCGAGCGAUUUUCUAAGGAUUUUCUAGAAAUCGACAAUGUACAGCAUACAAGCGUGCGUGGACAAAAUCUAAUUCAAUGGUAUAUUAUAUAUAGUUCUAACGAUACUAAGUUGCAUUUGAAGUAACUUUAGAGUAACAGCUUCGAACAAUACAUGUAAACAUUCAAAUCAAAUGUAGAUUAUAAUUUUAUCUUAGUAUAAUGUAAAUUCCUAUUAUGAAAAAUCGGGAAAAACUAAUUUGAUCCAUUUUUCCAUGGCCCGGGAUACUUUCUAGAUCUCAGACACUCAGUUGGUAUUUUAAGAAAACACUUUCAAACAAUACUUGGAAAUAUUUUGAUAUCCAAAAUUAACUGUAAGUUCAAAUUUAACCGCAACGUAAAUUAGAAUUAUUGGGGCGCUUUCCAUUUAAUGGCCUGACCGGUCAGACCCCAAUUUUUGUCUCUGUAUCAAUGGAACGAUUUGGCCUAUGUUUCUCAAAUAUCUAGCAAAAAUGGAC